GCUGUUAAGGGUUCGUAGUUGAAUUGCAGGCUUUCGAGAUGUCAAGACAGUCCUAUCCACUCUGGGUACGUGACUCCUUGUGCUUGAAGCUUGAGAACAUGGAAACUAUCAUCACGGGGCGUUUUCCUCCAUUCACGCGCGCAAUGUGCGCAGGGGGACGUCCGUGUCUUUUACUGUGCUAAAAAAGGGCGACUAAAGCAGUCCAUCGACAUGAAUUAGAAAGCAUGGGAUAACAAGGAGCAGCCUAUAGGCUACUAGCUUUUGUUGGUUUUACACGUCUGUGGGAGAUUAUGGGUCGCAUGACAAGCGGGUCGGGGCUCGUCCCCACGCCUCCCCAGUUCCGUGUACUCCCUGUGGGUCCGGGCUGUGGGCUUGCGACGCCCAGGAAUGAAGGAGGGUUGUUCGGGGGAGAACGUCUUGAGCGAGAGAGGUGAAAUUCUGAGACCGCUCAAAGACGAACUACAGCGAAGGCUUCUCCAAGGAUACCUUCCUCAAUCAAGAACCAAAGUGUGGAGAUCGAAGAUGAUUAGAGCCAUUGUAGUCC
rnacentral:rRNA from 1 species